UCUUGCGGUAAAUAUUAAAGCUUUUCUGUUUCUGUAUGUUGUUUGUAGUAUCGGGUAAAUAUGGUCUGUCCUAUGGCAGACUCCUUAUCUAUGUAGAAAUGUGUUUUGACGUGGCGUUUAGGAACCUGUGAGGUGGGCAAAUAAACCUCCAAAGAUCACAGAGAGUAGAGUUAGCAUCAGUUCAGACAUCAGCUCAGACAUGUGCUCAAGUUUUCUGUUUCCUCAAAUCAUCAAUUCUUCACCAUUUCGAGGAUAUUUGACCGGAACCAGCGUCCACCAAUUCUAAACUUUGCUAAUUAAAUAUGUAAGUUUAACCAAUAGUUGAAGCUAUUUCGUGUUUAUUGUUUAUUGUUUCUGUUUCUUACCCUUUUCUUUGUUUUGUUCUUUCGUAGGAGGUGAUAACAACACACAAGAUGACAUGCCUGGAGCAGGAGAGCUGACUGCUAAGCCUUACAAAACUGUGAAAUAAGUUCCCCCUGCAACAACCGUUGGAUUCGCUGCUUGUGGAGAUACAAAGGGAAAUGCAACUGUUGUUUGUGGAGUAACUAAUGAAGAAGCAAAGUUGCAGGGGGA
rnacentral:lncRNA from 1 species